UGUGAAACUUAUUAAACUUGUGCUCUUUAUCAAUGAUUUAAGAAAGCAAAUUAACCACUAGUCAUGCCAUUCACCAAAGCAGUAAAUUAAGAUUUGGCGUUUGAAGUUGACGUUUGGCGUAUAAAUUUCAUGCUUGAACUGCUACGAGGGCUUGUAGUCGUUAAAGCAUGAAAUUUAUACGCCAAACGUCAACUUCAAACGCCAAAUCUUAAUUUACUGCUUUGGUGAAUGGCAUAACUAGUGGUUAAUUUGCUUUCUUAAAUCAUUGAUAAAGAGCACAAGUUUAAUAAGUUUAACA
rnacentral:miRNA from 1 species